rnacentral:rRNA from 1 species
UACAGAGGUCCCGAGCGUUGUUCGGAUUCAUUGGGCGUAAAGGGCGCGUAGGCGGCCUGCUAAGUCGAACGUGAAAUCCCCGGGCUCAACCCGGGAACUGCGUCCGAUACUGGCAGGCUUGAAUCCGGGAGAGGGAUGCGGAAUUCCAGGUGUAGCGGUGAAAUGCGUAGAUAUCUGGAGGAACACCGGUGGCGAAGGCGGCAUCCUGGACCGGCAUUGACGCUGAGGCGCGAAAGCCAGGGGAGCAAACGGG